rnacentral:rRNA from 1 species
AGUCGGAAAUGCCCGAAGUCAGUGACCCAACCGUAAGGAGGGAGCUGCCGAAGGUGGAGCCGGUAACUGGGGUGAAGUCGUAACAAGGUAAC